rnacentral:rRNA from 1 species
UGGUGGAGUGAUUUGUCUGGUUAAUUCCGUUAACGAACGAGACCUCGACCUGCUAAAUAGAGCGACGAAUCCUUGUGAUUCGUUGGUACUUCCUAGAGGGACUGUUGGUGCCUAGCCAAUGGAAGUUCGAGGCAAUAACA